rnacentral:rRNA from 1 species
UUCCGGNUGAUCCNGCCGGAGGNNACCCCUUUCGGUGUUCGACUAAGCCAUGCAAGUCAUAUGUUCCUCGUGAACAUGGCAUACUGCUCAGUAACACGUGGAUAACCUGCCCUUGGGUCUGGGAUAACCCCGGGAAACUGGGGAUAAUACCGGAUAACGCAUAUGUGCUGGAAUGCUUUAUGCGUAAAAUGGAUUCGUCCGCCCAAGGAUGGGUCUGCGGCCUAUCAGGUAGUAGUGGGUGUAAUGUACCUACUAGCCAACAACGGGUACGGGUUGUGAGAGCAAGAGCCCGGAGAUGGAUUCUGAGACAUGAAUCCAGGCCCUACGGGGCGCAGCAGGCGCGAAAACUUUACAAUGCGGGAAACCGUGAUAAGGGAACACCGAGUGCCAGCAUCAUAUGCUGGCUGUCCAGAUGUGUAAACUACAUCUGUUAGCAAGGGCCGGGCAAGACCGGUGCCAGCCGCCGCGGUAACACCGGCGGCCCGAGUGGUGACCGUUAUUAUUGGGUCUAAAGGGUCCGUAGCCGGUUUGGUCAGUCCUCCGGGAAAUCUGAUAGCUUAACUGUUAGGCUUUCGGGGGAUACUGCCACGCUUGGAACCGGGAGAGGUAAGAGGUACUACAGGGGUAGGA